GCAAUUACAAAAACCGCCAAUCAAAUCCAAAUCACUGUUGUUGCAAGCAUUUUUGCAAUAUUUCGGUUGCACUAACUAAGUUUAUGCCGAUAGUCUACACUGACUGACCAUUUCUUUGGGGGGGCCAAACAACAACGGUCAAAGCCCAUGACAACACUCGAUAGACGACCAAUAUGCACCCCAAGUUGCCCGACAAGACGGACGAUACUACUCGCACAUCGAUCACGCUUUAGGCUAUUCAAUUUUUUGUAAGUCCCGAGAAAUCUGAUUUUACCUUCCAAGUGAGAAGUUUCAUGCCGCUCCUUAUUCUUGGUGGAGGGGGCGGGCGAUGGCACCUCCUGGGACAUUGGACGCACCGAGACCAGGAUCCGAGAGGCGGAAGGGCGGGCUCCUGGGAGGCUCAACAAAGCAGAAGACCGGCUUGUGGCACGAACCAAGCUGAGCAUUGUCCGAUGAGCAAAGGCCAU